CACAACUCCACCUUAAAGCUGAAGGCUGUAGCAGGAACAUGGACAAUGGCAUCUCUUAUGGUUCCUGCUAGUCUCCUCAUUAUUCUUCUGGCUCUCGUACUCAUCUCUCAUCCUGUGGUUCAUAGCCUCCAAGCAGCAGAUUCCUGAGCCUGUAGAGACACCAGAUAACAGUGAAGAGCUAUGGCCAACAUUACCAUUUUUCCAUGGUAAUGACAUUGUCUAUGCUAGUGUCCACUUUUCCCAACAUCAGGCAGAUCAUGUUCACACCCAAAUUAGACCAUCUCUGACCAAAAGUCACAGGAAGGAAAAGGAGGAAGAAGCAGAGAUGCUCACAUUUAGGAGUGCAAGUACCACAGCAGGGUGAGUUCCUUCUCACACAACAUCUAUCUGACUAAAAGUAGAUUUUUUUUGUUGUUUUUUUAAAUAAUGUUUGUCUUUUUUUGAUCACUGGUCAACAUACAUAUUACAUCAAUAUCAUACCUACAGAAACCAAGAAGCAGCAGCAGAUCCAGCUCCUCUGUACGAUACAAACCCGACUUGGAAAGCCAAGUCGUAAGCUAAUUUUUCCAUGGUAAUGUUUUAAUAUCUUUUUAAAAAGAGAUAAGUGUGAAUAUAAUGCACGCAUGCACAG
ensembl:lncRNA